rnacentral:rRNA from 1 species
UACAGAGACCUCAAGCGUUAUCCGGAAUUAUUGGGCGUAAAGGGUGCGAAGGUUUCCCAACAGGUUUCUUGUUAAAUCCUCCCGCUCAACGGGAGAACCGCGAGAAAAACCGGUGGGAUAGAGUAUGUGAGAGGUGCAUGGAACUCAUGGUGUAGGGGUGAAAUCCGUUGAUAUCAUGGGGAACACCAAAGGCGAAAGCAGUGCACUGGCACACUACUGACACUCAAGCACGAAAGCGUGGGGAGCGAACGGG